AUGGCGUACUACUCAGAUCAUCAUGCUUAUGCGAGCAACACUACAAACAGCAUGGAAACUAUUCAAGAACCGAUAAGUAAGAUUUCCCAUCGAUUAGAUGAUUUAGCUCGGCAGCGAGAAGUAGUUUUUGAGGAUAGGCCUUGCUCUUUUGAUCCUUAUUCCAGAGGCCAUCCUUAUGUUGCUCCUACUUGCCAUAUUUGUGGAUUUCAGGGCCAUUCGCCCGCUGAAUGUCAGCGUGGUUACUCUCACCCUCCAGGUUUUUUUGGCAUGAGCUUCGCUCAAGAGCAUAGCUCAUACCAAAACAAUCACUCUCAUGGGUGGCCUAAAAACCCGAAUAUGUCAUAUAGGAGCAACAACCCUGAGAUCUCACCGUUUGCCUCUAGUUAUCCAAUGCAAGGAUUUAGGUACAAUGAGGAGAGCCACAACUAUGCUCCACAACAGAUUUAUUCAGCUCCUACUCAUAUACCUCAACACCAGGAGAUGUUGCCAAUGGAGUUAAAUGGUCCUCCAUUUGGUCAACCAACAACUCCAGCAACUGCUGAGCAAUCUCAUGUGCAAGUGCCCACACAAGAUGAAUUUGAUGAUAUAGACAAGCUCACAUUGCUUAGUCUCGAGUUCACUUGGAGUGCUGAAGAUGAUCCAAUUAGGCUGAUGAUACUAGAUGAAAUGAAGAAUAUCAAGAGUGGAAAAGAGCUAGUGGAUGAAGUAAGGAAGAUUGAUAAGAACAUCAACGCUGGUAGUACUAUCUCAUCUAUCCUUGAGCUGAGUGCUGCUGAGAUUUCUAGUCAUUCAUGUGAGGUUCCAACACCGUCACAUUUAGCUGAUCAAGAUAGCGAGAGCCCAGAGGAAGAGAUACCUCAGAUUGAAGAUGUACUCGAAGCCAAGGCACAAGAUGAUCCAGAGCUCAAAUGCCCAAGUGAUCAAGUUGAAGAUCCAAUGUCUAUCCCUCCUGAAGAAGUAAAAGAAGCUGCUGUAGAUGAAGAUGAAGAACCUGAGAUUCAUUUGCCUAUUGUCAUAUAA
rnacentral:rRNA from 1 species